AGUGAACGCUGGCGGUAGGCCUAACACAUGCAAGUCGAACGGCAGCACAGUCAUUGCUUGCUCUUACGGGUGGCGAGUGGCGGACGGGUGAGGAAUACCUCGGAAUCUACUUUUUCGUGGGUUAUAACGUAGGCAAACUUACGCUAAUACCUCAUCCGUCCUACUGGUGAGAGCAGGGGAUCUUCGGACCUUGCUCGAUUGAAUGAGCCGAUGUCGGAUUAGCUAGUUGGCGGGGUAAAGGCCAACCAAGGCGACGAUCCGUAGCUGGACUGAGAGGAUGAGCAGCCACACUGGAACUGGGACACGGUCCAGACUCCGACGGGAGGGAGCAGUGGGGAAUAUUGGACAAUGGGCGCAAGCCUGAUCCAGACAUACCGCGUGGGUGAAGAAGGUCUUCGGGUUGUAAAGCCCUUUUGUUGGGAAAGAAAAGCAGGAGGUUAAGACCCCGCUGUUCUGACGGUACCCAAAGAAUAAGCACCGGCUAACUUCGUG
rnacentral:rRNA from 1 species